rnacentral:ncRNA from 3 species
UGGUUGAUCCUGCCAGUA